UUCGGGACAACUCUGGGAAACUGGAGCUAAUACCGGAUACGCCCUUUUGGGGAAAGGUUUACUGCCGAAGGAUCGGCCCGCGUCUGAUUAGCUAGUUGGUGGGGUAACGGCCUACCAAGGCGACGAUCAGUAGCUGGUCUGAGAGGAUGAUCAGCCACACUGGGACUGAGACACGGCCAGACUCCUACGGGAGGCAGCAGUGGGGAAUAUUGGACAAUGGGCGCAAGCCUGAUCCAGCCAUGCCGCGUGAGUGAUGAAGGCCUUAGGGUUGUAAAGCUCUUUUAUCCGGGACGAUAAUGACGGUACCGGAGGAAUAAGCCCCGGCUAACUUCGUGCCAGCAGCCGCGGUAAUACGAAGGGGGCUAGCGUUGCUCGGAAUCACUGGGCGUAAAGGGCGCGUAGGCGGCGUUUUAAGUCGGGGGUGAAAGCCUGUGGCUCAACCACAGAAUGGCCUUCGAUACUGGGACGCUUGAGUCUGGUAGAGGUUGGUGGAACUGCGAGUGUAGAGGUGAAAUUCGUA
rnacentral:rRNA from 1 species